rnacentral:tRNA from 1 species
CGAGGCGUAGCGCAGUUGGUAGCGCACUUGUUUUGUUAGAAUGACAGAAUGGAAUUGUUGAAAAAAUUGCGAGUUCGAAUCUCGUUUCUAACACAAGGGAACAAGGGGUCGCAAGUUCGAAUCUUGUCGCCUCGA